rnacentral:lncRNA from 1 species
GCACAUGCGCAGAAUCAUCGUGGUGCACGGCUCUCCCGUUGCUUCUUCGGUUGCAGUCCUCUUGGCUUCUUGCGCGUGCGUGUAGCGCUUUUGCAAAGCCGCGGAGGUGAAGCUAACGUAGAGGCUGUGGGGCCAAGGGGUCCUCUUAUAGCUAUCAGCCCACAGGCAUUUAGUCUACGUUGGAGGUAAACAAAUACGGGUCCAGCUUAGGAGAAAACAAAAACGUCUUACAGCCAGUGUCUAAACUCCAAACAACGGAAUGUAUCAAUGAGACCUUGUAUAUGGAUACACGUGCAUUUAAAACCGCCCUGCCGGCGUGUAGAGCUCUUGCCGUUCGCCAGCGCUUUACAGGGGUUAUCGCACUUAAGCCUCGGAACAACUUUACCAGAUGAGGACACCUGAGGCUCAGAUUACGAAAUCUGCCCCAAAGUCUUAGAACUGGAGGGGGGUUUAAUCUGGACUGAAUUGGAGGAAAGGAACUGGCACCAGAGUGGAGGCUGGAAGGAUGGUGGAACUGACACUGGGACAGAACACAGAAAACAGAAUAUAAUGCUAUUGCUCUGGCUGUAUCAAAUAAAAGUGUCAAGAGUGAGCAUCCUUGCAUUGUGCUGAAUCACAGAGGAAUACCUUUCAAUUUUUCUCCAUUGACUAUGAUAGCAGUGGGCUUUUCACAUGUGGGCUUUACUGUGUUGAGGUACCCUAAUGAUAAGUUCACCCCAGUGUUUUCUGAGGAGUCUACCUGGAAAUGAGAACCAUCUGUCCUUCCUAUAGUAGUUCUUCUCAGAAUGCCGACUCUAUGCUAAUGAUGAAAAUUUGAAUGCUGGGGCUCAGUGGAACACCUGAAGGAAGCUGGUGAGGCAGAUGUCCCGCCAUGCCUUCCAAGUGUCAUGCAACCAGUUCAUGCCUGUCAGCAUCUCUACCGGUAGACUCUGUGAGUCAGCAAAUCUACAGAGCAGAGAGCCACAGGUGGGGACAGAUGUGGUCAAAUGCCAUUUAAAUCAGUGAUUCUCAGCCCAGGAGUUGUCGUGGCACUGGCCUUGAGUGAGCUGGACCAAGCAAAGCGGUAGAAUUCCCCAUAAAGGACCAAGUGAGCAGAUAGAAGUUUCUCCAUUUUAACUUUUUCUGAGUCAAUUUAACAAACAACCUAGUGCCUUUUUCUGU